GGAGGCGUCUGCUCACCUGGUGGGAGUCGCGGCCUUCAAAGCCGACGAGACCGAGCACCUCGGUCUGGCGGGUUCGAUCCCCGUCCGCCUCCGCUA
rnacentral:tRNA from 1 species